AUUGAACGCUGGCGGCAGGCCUAACACAUGCAAGUCGAGCGCGAAAGUUCUUCGGAAUGAGUAAAGCGGCGGACGGGUGAGUAAUACAUGGGAAUCUGCCUGGUAGUGGGAGACAACGUUUCGAAAGGAACGCUAAUACCGCAUACGCCCUACGGGGGAAAGGGGGGGAUCUUCGGACCUCUCGCUAUCAGAUGAGCCCA
rnacentral:rRNA from 1 species